UUUAGGUAUCUAAAGUAAAUGGCCUUAUGUAUAAUCCUGAAUUAUAAGUCAUUGCAAAAGAAUCAGGCUUGUGGCUACUUCUCUGACAGAGCCAAACUCUCCAAUUCAAUUAUUCUGAGCAAAACAAACAAGGAGGGGGACCCUCUUACGGAUUAAAGACCUCUUUGUGAUAUGACUGGCCCAAUUCAAUUGCCUAAGCAUCACGUAGAAACAAUAGUUCAAUACUUCAAAGGAUGGCUGAAGAGGAACAGCCCCAGUCUGCAGCGCCCAGGGAGACCAACGCAGAAGGCAGCUGAUUUACAGAGAUAGACUGCAGAAGGGCAAGAGUGAAAGCAGAAAAUAUUGCUAGUAUAUAACUCCAGGUGCUGAGUGGAAAGCCCACACUCCAGAAGCUCAUUAAAAGGGCCAAGUUACAGUACAGGUUUAUUUCUGUCACAGCGUUUCUGAAAACAGUGACAAGGAUUAAUAUGUUUCUUUAGUACUGGAAAAAACCUGACACAAUCCCUUGUGAAUUUGAUCAUCUGUUUCAUUGCCUGUAUAAGAUUCAAUCUCCUAUUAUAUCCUAAAGUUACAGCUGUAAACUAAGGCUGGUAAGAAUUCAUAAGCUAUUGCAGAAGCCUGCGGCAAAACUAAUUGUUUUAUUCAACAGUCACUUGUUUAUUUAUUAUUUAUUUCAUACUCCCCUCCUAUAAUCCUUUUCCACUCUCCUUCCUCAAAGUCAAGAUUAUCUUGGUUCGUUGCCUGAAUGCACAGAGCAAAUACAGAAACGGGGAGCCCUAUUCCAGGAGUUCUCAAAAAAGUUCCUACGGAUCAGUGUUUUGUGGAAAUACCCAUUCUAAAUGUUUUAUAAAAAUAUUCUUACUCUCCUUUGAUUGGCAUAAAAAUUCCUUGCUAAAAAGCAAUAUUUGCACAAAUAUUAUAACCUUUGUUUUCUGUGUCAUCAUGUGACAUUAAGCUUUAUUUGCUAGUGGUUGCUAUGUGUCUGACACAUGAUUUGCCAUGUGGUACAUGUAAAUCACAGCAAAGUGCAAAGUAUAUUAUAAAACAAUUCUGUUUUACAUCAAAUUAGAUAGGCAAAUAUCUAUUCGCUAUUUUCAAAAAUUAAAAUGCAAUAUGCUAUAUAGAUACUGUAAAACAAAUAAUAUUUAACAUUGAGAAAGCUCUCUCUCUCUUUCCUUCUCCUC
ensembl:lncRNA LINC02326 long intergenic non-protein coding RNA 2326